UAAACCGCCACGAGUGUGUCCUCGAACUGAUCUCUGCGGCGUCGAGUUCGAUCGAUUCUGCGAACCUCUGCGCUUCGUCGGAGGAGAUUGGUGGAGGAAAGAAGAUCGGGAGCGGCGGCCAAGUGGAUCUCGAGGACAAGCGCAUGAAGUGCGCCUCCAAGCCUGACAAGCGCUUGGAUCUCAUGACGGAGGUCCUCCACCGCAUGAAGUGCGCCUCCAAGCCUGACAAGCGCCUCAUUCUCAUAGCUCGAUGAGAUGCUGGCAAAACAAGGUGUCAAAGUUGAUAAAGUGCUCAAUUUUGCAAUUGAUGAUGGCAGGACUUAUCACACCAAAUUUGCUCCUUCAAAGGUCCUGGAAUUGAUGAUGUGUCAGGAGAACCCUUGAUCCAAAGGAAGGAUGACACAGUUGAAAUGCUCAAGUCAAGGCUUGAAGCCUUCCACCGACAAACUGAACCUGUAUGAUAUUUCUUUAUACCUGUUCAUUGAUGUUUUUGUCUCUUGUAUUAUAAAUUUUUCAUUGUAAGGAAAAUUUGGAAUUUCUCA